CCUACGGGGGGCAGCAGUGGGGAAUCUUCCGCAAUGGGCGCAAGCCUGACGGAGCACUGCCGCGUGAACGAAGAAGGCCCUCUGAUUGUUAAGUUCUGUUCUUAUCGAAGUGAGGGCAUAGAGUCAAAACUGAUAUACUAGGACGGUCGAUUAGGAGGAAGCUACGGCAAACUACGUGCCAGCAGCCGCGGUAAUACGUAGGGAGUGAGCGUUGUCCGGAAUUACGGGGUGAAACGGGAGCGUUGGCGGGGAUGCAAGUUGGGUGUCAAAACUACCGGCUCAACUGGUAGUCGCACUCAAGACUGCAGCGCUAGAGAGAAGUUGAGGCAGGCGGAAUGCAUAGUGUAGCGGUGAAAUGCGUAGAGAUUA
rnacentral:rRNA from 1 species